rnacentral:miRNA from 1 species
UCCUUCCUCGGCCUCCCGCCCGC